CAGCAGCCGCGGUAAUACGAGGGGGGCAAGCGUUGUUCGGAAUUAUUGGGCGUAAAGGGUGCGUAGGCGGUUUGACAAGUCAUCUGUGAAAUCUAUGGGCUCAACCCAUAGCCUGCAGGCGAAACUGUCGGGCUUGAGUAUUGGAGAGGUGAGUGGAAUUUCCGGUGUAGCGGUGAAAUGCGUAGAUAUCGGAAGGAACACCUGUGGCGAAAGCGGCUCACUGGACAAUAACUGACGCUGAUGCACGAAAGCUAGGGGAGCAAACAGGAUUAGAUACCCGGGUAGUCCCUGUCUCUUAUAC
rnacentral:rRNA from 1 species